UUCAACCAUCCCUGGGUGUCGGAGUUAGUAGGAAUUGGGGCAUAGUUUCCUCCUCUACUCAGUCUCCAUACUCAAGAUUUAUGUAACCACAGAACCCUAGGUACUAGGCACUCAUUUUUUCCUUUCUCGUUGAUGUUGGAUGGGACUCAGUACCAGGCACAGAUGACAAAGUGUCAAGACAUUCUGACAAAGUAUGAAAGUGUUGUUACUUUCAAAAAGUUCCAUUAAUCCAGAAGAAAUGGGUUUCUCCCUGCAACCUGUCAAUCAAACAGAGGUGGCCAAUCACCACUCUGAAUUUUUUUGCUCUCAGUGCUUCUUCAGACUACAUUCCCCGUCGAGAACUUCUUUAGCAGUGUUCUGAAAAAGGCAAUGAAGUGGGUGGCUAGCAGCAAAAAAGUUUAAGAGGUCUACAUGGGAAGUUCCUGCCAAGACCACAUUCCAUCUCAAACAUGGUGAUGUUCUGAAAUCAAGUCUUUCCUUAGAACUAAUAAUUCAUCUAUACUACAUCCACUGAUAAAGAAACUAGAUUUAAACAGGAAGAUAAGUAACCUUAAUUACUUUUUUUCCACCAACGUAAUUGCCAACAAACAAGGAAGUUCCAGCACAGAGCAUGAGAACAAAUAAAA